rnacentral:rRNA from 1 species
UGGGGAAUAUUGCACAAUGGGCGCAAGCCUGAUGCAGCCAUGCCGCGUGUAUGAAGAAGGCCUUCGGGUUGUAAAGUACUUUCAGCGAGGAGGAAGGCAUUAAGGUUAAUAACCUUGGUGAUUGACGUUACUCGCAGAAGAAGCACCGGCUAACUCCGUGCCAGCAGCCGCGGUAAUACGGAGGGUGCAAGCGUUAAUCGGAAUUACUGGGCGUAAAGCGCACGCAGGCGGUAUGUCAAGUCGGAUGUGAAAUCCCCGGGCUCAACCUGGGAACUGCAUUCGAAACUGGCAGGCUAGAGUCUUGUAGAGGGGGGUAGAAUUCCAGGUGUAGCGGUGAAAUGCGUAGAGAUCUGGAGGAAUACCGGUGGCGAAGGCGGCCCCCUGGACAAAGACUGACGCUCAGGUGCGAAAGCGUGGGGAGCAAACA